UUGCAGUUGAAUGAAGCUACCCAGAGAGCAGCCCAACAUGAAGCAAAGGAAGAAAAUGUUGGAAGUGUCAACAAUAAGGCUACCCAGAAUAGUAACUUCUGAGGGAUUGAGGCAAAGGCUUUUGCUUCAAAGAAAGUUGCAGUGAAAGUUGAGAGGAGUAGUGCUGUUGGCUCCAAAAGCAUUGCGGCUGUGAAUUCCAAGGCCAUCGUGAUCAGUAGGGAGAACACCAAGGAACAAGUUUGUGAACCACUUAUGAGUGUUGAGAAUACCCCAGUCAUCCGAAAGCAAGUUCUGCAAGCACUGUCUUGUGGUGCUGGACCUGGUGCUGUUUCUAAGAAAUGGCUUAAUUAUGAC